CCGUCAACAAGAACUGGGAGGAGACGUUUUCUGCCUCUGCUCUCCGGGUCUGUCGCUCACGUCGCAAUGUCACUCGGCUACAGUAGCGCCGCUGUGUUUACACCAUGAGACCAAAGGGGACGGGCAGCUUUAACAUGGAGCGAGAGAGAACUCUCCUUUCCUUUUCCUCGUCCACUUCAACGAACGACGAAAAGAGCCGAGUCUGGUCGAGAGGAGAACGAGGAGGGAGGGAGGGAGAAAGGCGGACCAAUGAGAAACUUACUACUGUUUCAGGCAAAAUACUAACCACAUCCGGCUAUUUUCAAAAUAAGACUAAAAUGCACAGCUUCAGUAAAUCCCCGAGGGAAAUUAUUUUUGUGGGACACAAUAAUGUACCAAACGGUUAAUACUAUGCUACUUAAACCACAAGUGACUACAAUACAACUUAAAUUUCAACAAGUUGAGAUUUGGUAUUGGAUUUUAAAAGAUCUAUCAAAUUCAUUAUUGAUAAAAUUCAUAUUUAAAUAUUCAUAUUUCUAGGCUUACUGCUAUAUUAUGCACAGAACCAUCUCAGUACUGUACAGCAAUAAAUGUGUACUUCAAAUGAACAUGAUAAGUGCAAUUUUUUAAGUGUACACCAAAAAAAAAAACUAUAAAAAUUAACAAAUCUCUGAAGUGUAUGUGCAUAUACUCCCUCAAACUACAUCAGUCUGUGAGAGGUGCAGUGUUCCUACACAGCUACAUGUUCCUACUCAGAUAAGUGAGUGAAUUUAAUCACAACAGCAACCUGGCUGCCAGGAUUGGAGGCGUGCACAUUCCUUAAAAAAGUGUAAGUAAAUACUGUGUACACUUUCAAUGCCAGGUAUAAAUGACUACAUUUUUGUUGCUAACUUACAUUCCUAUCUUUAUUACUUACCUCAGCAGACAGAUGACACAGUCAAAGGAUAAAAACAGGUCACAGAAAUAUGUUCGGUAAAAGUCUUUUUUUUAUUUAAAUUAUAAUAGAAAAAAAAAAAAACCUAAAAACAGCGUAGAGCUAAAGACAACUUCCAAAACAUGGUUGAUGUCUGAUGCAUGUGUGUGAUGUUAAAAAGAAGCACCUUAUAAAAAAUAGAUAUCUACAUUGUAACAUAAUGAACAGUACAGCAUCCAUGUCCCAAUGUGGUGUGUACAUUUGCCCCAAAUAUAUUGUAAAAAAAAAAAAAACUAUUGCAAAACUAAUAUUGACAGCAGUCCUCCACAUUAUCUACUUU